rnacentral:rRNA from 1 species
AAAGUCGCAAGACGCUUAAAGUGAGGCCUGGGCACCAUCAGCUAGUUGGUAAGGUAAUGGCUUACCAAGGCUAUGACGGUUAGGGGUCCCGAGAGGGAUAACCCCCACACUGGAACUGCGACACGGUCCAGACUCCUACGGGAGGCAGCAGUUUGGAAUUUUGGACAAUGGGCGAAAGCCUGAUCCAGCGACGCCGCGUGGACGAUGAAGGCCUUCGGGUCGUAAAGUCCUUUUGCUCGGGAACAAUAUUUUGAGCGUACCGAGAGAAUAAGAGGUUGCUAACUCUGUGCCAGCAGCAGCGGUAAUACAGAGACCUCAAGCGUUAUCCGGAAUCAUUGGGCGUAAAGCGUACCGAUAGGUGGUUUUACAAGUCAGAAGUGGAAUCUCUCAGCUUAACUGGGAGACUGUCUUUUGAAACUGUAAAACUAGAAGAGCAAAGAGGAAGCUGGAACAAAUGGUGUAGUAGUGAAAUGCGUUGAUAUCGUUUGGAACACCAAUAGCGUAGGCAGGCUUCUGGGUGCUACUUGGCACUGCUAGGACGAAAGCGUGGGGAGCGAUAAGGAUUAGAUACCCUUGUAGUCCACGCUGUAAACGAUGAUGAUUAGGCGCUAGGGAGUAUCGACCCUCCUUAGUGCCAUAGCUAACGCGUUAAAUCAUCCGCCUGGGGAGU